rnacentral:lncRNA from 1 species
AACAAAAAACAACCAAGAGCAGCAUCAAGCAGGGAACAACUUUAGACAUAGCAAGUAAUGGCGCAUCAGAAGAUGCUGAGGACUGAGGCAUUCGGGACAUGACUUGCCCUUCACUGGGUGUCACAUUUCUGCUGGAUUUGUCUCCUCUCUGGUUAUCUCAUUGUCACUAUCAGAUGCUGCCCCUCUAUACCAGAUUCAGUGUUUUAUCUCAGCAGGUCUACUUGAUGGCUUCUAAUCUCCUGAAGACUAGCAUCUAGUGACUUGAAAGACUUUCCCUAAUGAGACCCAGUGUAUAAUUUUAGCCAUAGUCAGAGGGUAUAAAUGACACUCCUCGGUGUAAGAAAAGCCAGAAAGGUCUCAACUCAUUUCCACAUGAUAAUCGCCUUGAAAAACUUGAACGUCACUAUCAUAUGCCCCCUAAAUCAUCCAGUUCCCAGCUUAUAUAGUGCCAGUUUCUUCUACAAAUCUGCUGGAGAAUUUUGACAUGGUCUUUAAUUCCCUCCCCAUGCAGGGGACUAGAUUAUAGGUUGUUGAUCCUCUAUCUAUGAAGCCUCAGAGUCUGCAUGUCUCCAAUUUCUGGACUAAGAGAAGAAUCUGCCCGCAUGGAUCAUUAUCAUAACAGACUGAUUUUUUUCCUGCAUGGAUGAAGGGAUCAUCUAUCUUUUUUGGCCAAACGUAUAUUCAGGAGAAAAGUUUCCCUUCAAGAUGAAUGGAAUUUACCAUUGAAUGAAAGUCUGAGUCUAGUUAUUCAAGUAAAUGCCAAAGCUUUGGACUCUCUUGUUCAUAUUCUAGCCUUGCAUCCCCUUCUUCUUCCCUCUCCUUCCCAGUACCAUAUCCAUCAUAUCCAGACUGAUCUUGAAUUUGCUUUUCUAGCCUAACCUUACACAAGGUUCCUACUUUCAACCACUUGAGUUUGACGAGAAUAUUCUGCCCCCCAGAGUCCUUGCUUCUCUGACUUGAUUCUAAAAUGAGGCCAUCAUACUCAAACUGGGACAUCCAGACAAUUUCCAUAGCAACCGACGGAGGCCACAUCCAUAAUAUUAUGACUUCACCACAGGAUCAAGCCUGAAAAGAAAAUGCAGCACAGUUAAGAAUACACAUAUUGACGAGAGCGGCAUUCAACAAUAACGUCAACAACAAUAAAGGGAAAAGGAAAAC